rnacentral:tRNA from 11 species
GGGGACGUGGCGGAAUCGGUAGACGCGCCGGACUUAAAAUCCGUUGGAGCAAUCCGUGUGGGUUCGAGUCCCACCGUCCCUACCA